AUGACCCACACUGAGGCUUACAGAGGUGCUCUGCUCUCCGCCCUGCUGAAGAGUUUGGUCAGCUGUGGCCCAGUCUGGGGAGGAGAAAACAUGAGCACCCUGAAGAUGAACCAUAGCCUGAUGCCUGCAGGUAGCGGCGAGCGCCCAUCCGUGUUCUCCUUCACCCUCGGUAUGAGCUCUCAGGGCCCCGCGGUGCCUGGGAGGUUCUGGAGCCCAUCCCGCGUGCAGAGAGCCCAUGCUACCCUCCUGCACGUCGCACCCCCUGCAGCUGCCACUUCAAUAUCCUCCAAGGAAAACCAGGCAGCUCCCCAGGCCCCUCUGUCUGCACUUCAUCCCAUGGAAGAGCCAGGGUCCUGCCUGCUGCCCUACACCAUCACCACCCACACUUGCUCACCAUGGGACCCCCGCCGUUCACAUGCCGGUCUGUGCACACAACAGCAGGUGGGUGAUUACACUUUGCACUUUAAAUGCAGCCCCUUGGCGUCACCCAGCGACCCCAGGUCGCCCUGUGUCACAGUGGCCUGCAGCACUGGAGACAACGCCAGGCACAGCAGGUGUGCAGGAGGGGAGCUGAGGCUGCACCGGGUGGCAGAGCCAGCAGAGGCUGCACCAGCAUCGCCACGGUGCCCACGCAGCCGGCCGGCCAGGAAGUGUUUCUCAGAGCAUCACCCAUGACGAGGUGAUGCGUGACACGGAAUGUGGGCAAAUGCAUACAUUAGGCAGUUUUAGCAUCUCUUCUAAAUUUAUAUAAAUAAUUUAAUCAAUUGCCUGUAAAAUACAUAGUAUUCCAAUUAUAUGAAUUAUAUGUACUUAAUAUACCAUCGAUAUUUUAUAUUUAUGCUAAUUAUAGUAAUACCUAUUAAGUUUUAUGUUAUAAACUGAUAUGACAUUGAGUACAUAUCAUGUAUCUUACUGCAGUGAUACACUAAAAUAUUCCGUCAUACUAAUCAUACUGCUUAUGUAGUUAAUGUGUUGCAUAAGUUCGUGCAGUAUGCACGGCGCAGUAUAAAGCCCCGUUGUCGCCUGUGGCUGCCGUGUGUGCCCCAUGUCUCCCAGGCCCUUCUAACCCUCUCCCCUCGGAGCCCAGGAGGGCAAGGCCGCGCCCCCCCGCACCUGAGCGCCCAGCCUGCCACUCCUCCCAGAGCACUUCAGGUUUUCUCUGGCCCAGAACAGGCAGGCACCGGCCUUCGGGACCAGUGUGAAUGCAUCACCCACCCCUGAACCGUUAGCACCCAAUCUGCGCCCAGGGACCCCGAUGCUGAAGCUGGGAGGGGCGGGGCCCUGGUUUGGACCGGAACCCGGAGUCUGAGCCCUUGACCGUCCUACUCCACGGCACGCGGGGGAGAUGCUGAGACUCCCCACGCGGGCGGCAGCACAGCCCGAGGCCGCCAGGGGAAGCUGUGAGUCCACCACAGGGUUGCCCGUCCUUGCGUCCACAGCAGUCGGCGGCAGCACAGCCCGAGGCCGCUGGGAGGCGCCCGUGUGCCUACCCUGGCGCAGGUCCCGCCUGUGGGCAGCCUGGCUCCCCGCCUCCUCCUGGGGCUCUGACCCGGCCCGGGCCUGCACUUGG
rnacentral:lncRNA from 1 species